UACAGAGGUUCCAAGCGUUGUUCGGAUUCAUUGGGCGUAAAGGGUGCGUAGGCGGCGCCGUAAGUCGGAUGUGAAAUCUCGGGGCUCAACCCUGAAACUGCAUUCGAUACUGCGGUGCUAGAGGACUGGAGAGGAUAGUGGAAUUCCCAGUGUAGUGGUGAAAUACGUAGAGAUUGGGAAGAACACCAGUGGCGAAGGCGGCUAUCUGGACGGUUUCUGACGCUAAGACGCGAAAGCGUGGGGAGCAAACAGG
rnacentral:rRNA from 1 species